rnacentral:rRNA from 1 species
AUGAACGUUGCGCUCAUGCUUCGCUGGGUGUGGCAGAUCUUGCGAGGAGAUGGAGGCUUGUGGCUGCAGCUGAUUGAGUCCAAGUACUUGCAUGGCCAGCCCCUCUUGGCUUGCACGCACUCGGCUGGAUCCCAGUUUUGGAAAUUGAUUCAGGACAUCAAAGAUGAGAUUAGGCUGGGCUUGCAGUUCUCGGUUGGCAAUGGGUCUGGGAUCCAGUUC